rnacentral:rRNA from 1 species
AGAUUGAACGCUGGCGGAAUGCUUUACACAUGCAAGUCGAACGGUAGAGGGGGCAACCCUUGAGAGUGGCGAACGGGUGAGUAAUAUAUCGGGAACGUGCCCAGUCGUGGGGGAUAACGUAGCGAAAGUUACGCUAAUACCGCAUACGAUCUAAGGAUGAAAGCGGGGGAUCGCAAGACCUCGCGCGAUUGGAGCGGCCGAUAUCAGAUUAGGUAGUUGGUGAGGUAAAGGCUCACCAAGCCAACGAUCUGUAGCUGGUCUGAGAGGACGACCAGCCACACUGGAACUGAGACACGGUCCAGACUCCUACGGGAGGCAGCAGUGGGGAAUUUUGGACGAUGGACGCAAGUCUGAUCCAGCCAUUCCGCGUGCAGGAUGAAGGCCCUCGGGUUGUAAACUGCUUUUGUACGGAACGAAAAGGUUUGUCUUAAUACGAUGAGCUCAUGACGGUACCGUAAGAAUAAGCACCGGCUAACUACGUG